ensembl:lncRNA
CUAUGGGGUGGCAGGAGGGGUCACAGUGUGCUGGGAGGGCGGCUAUGGGGAAGCUGUGGGGCGGCUAUAGGGGCGCUACAGGGUGUGCCCUGGGUGCUAUAGGGCUCUAUAGGGCUCUAUGGGUGUGCUCCGGGUGCUACAGGGCUCUGUAGGGCUCUAUGGGUGUGCCCUGGAUGCUAUAGGGCUCUAUAGGUGUGCCCUGGGUGCUAUAUGGGCGCUAUAGGGUGUGCCCUAGGUGAGAUAUGGGUGCUAUAGGGUGUGCUCCUACCCACCCUUUAGGUGCCCUAUGGGUGCCCUAUAGCUGCCCUAACAGCCCCAUGGGUGCCCUACAGCUGCCCUACCCACCCUUUAUGUGCCCUAUGGGUGCCCUAUAGCUGCCCUAACAGCCCCACGGGUGCCCUACAGGUGCCCUACAGCUGCCCUACCCACCCUUUAGGUGCCCUACGGGUGCCCUACAGCUGCCCUAACAGCCCCACGGGUGCCCUACAGGUGCCCUACAGGCACCCUACCCACCCUUUAGGUGCCCGACCCACCCCUUUAGGUGCCCUAUGGAUGCCCUAUAUCUGCCCUAACAGCCCCACAGGUGCCCUACAUCUGCCCUACCCACCCUUUAGGUGCCCUAUGGGUGCCCUAUGGGUGCCCUAACAGCCCCACGGGUGCCCCACAGGUGCCCUACAGGUGCCCUACCCACCCUUUAGGUGCCCUACGGGUGCCCUACAGCUGCCCUAACAGCCCUACAGGUGCCCUACCAACCCUUGAGGUGCCCUAUAGCUGCCCUAACAGCCCCACGGGUGCCCUAUGGGUGCCCUAUAGCUGCCCUAACAGCCCCACGGGUGCCCUACAGGCUACUGCACGUUCUGCCCUCCACCGCCUGCAAUUCCGUGUGCGGCCACCAGGGGGCAGCACCCACUGCUCAUACAACUUCUGCCCUCCACCGCCUGCAAUUCCAAGGGCGGCCACCAGGGGGCAGCACCCCCCACUCCUCCACGUCCUUCCCUCCACCGCCUGCAAUUCCAUAGGCGACCACCAGGGGGCAGCACGCACUGCCCUCCACCGCCUGCAAUUCCAGCCAUGGCCACCAGGGAGCAGCACCCCCCACUUCUAUACCUUCCACCAUCCACCGCCUGCAGUUCCAAGGGUGGCCAGCAGAGGGCAGCACCCAUCGCUUAUACAACUUCUGCCCUCCACCGCCUGCAAUUCCAAGGGCGACCACCAGGGGGCAGUACCCCCCACUUCUACACGUUCUGCCCUCCACCGCCUGCAAUUCCAUGGGCGGCCAGCAGGGGGCAGCACCCAAAACUCCUACACCUUCUGCCCUCCACCGCCUGCAAUUCCAGAGACAACCACCAGGGGGCAGCACCCACUGCCCUCCACCGCCUGCAAUUCCAUAGACAACCACCAGGGAGCAGCACCCACUGCCCUCCACCGCCUGCAAUUCCAUGUGCGGCCACCAGGGGGCAGCACC